AAUAGAUACCCCGGUAGUCCACGCCGUAAACGAUGAGUGCUAAGUGUUAGAGGGUUUCCGCCCUUUAGUGCUGCAGCUAACGCAUUAAGCACUCCGCCUGGGGAGUACGGCCGCAAGGCUGAAACUCAAAGGAAUUGACGGGGGCCCGCACAAGCGGUGGAGCAUGUGGUUUAAUUCGAAGCAACGCGAAGAACCUUACCAGGUCUUGACAUCCUCUGCCAACCCUAGAGAUAGGGCGUUCCCCUUCGGGGGACAGAGUGACAGGUGGUGCAUGGUUGUCGUCAGCUCGUGUCGUGAGAUGUUGGGUUAAGUCCCGCAACGAGCGCAACCCUUGAUCUUAGUUGCCAGCAUUCAGUUGGGCACUCUAAGGUGACUGCCGGUGACAAACCGGAGGAAGGUGGGGAUGACGUCAAAUCAUCAUGCCCCUUAUGACCUGGGCUACACACGUGCUACAAUGGAUGGUACAAAGAGCAGCGAACCCGCGAGGGUAAGCCAAUCCAUAAGAACGCUAUCUGUAGUCGUAUGGUGU
rnacentral:rRNA from 1 species